GACAGGGAGGCCUGAUGUGCUGCAGUCCAUGGGGUCGCAAAGAGUCGGACUCGACUCUGCAACUGAACUGAACUGAAUAAGUGGAAUCUCUACAUUCAUUCAAAUGAGCUGAUUUGUAAACAGAAACAGACCCACAGGCUUAGAAAACCAACUUAUGAUUAUAAAAAUAAAAGACAGGAGAAGGAAGACAGUAAAAGGUUGAGUUUAACAGAUACACCCUACUUAUCAGAUGGAUAAUCCAGAAGGACCUACUGUUAGCACAGGGACGCCUACUGAACACACUGAAAGAACCUAUAUGGGAAAAGACCCCAAGGAAGAAUAGAUACACGUCUGUGCGUUACUGAAUCAAGUUCCUGUUCACCUAAAACAAACCCAAGUUCAGAUAGCAAAUCUANNNNNNNNNNNNNNNNNNNACAAAAAAAAAAAAAAAAAAAAAGCAUUGGCUUGCGGGGCUAUGCUGCCCCCUUGUGGCCACCUUUGGUGACAACAACCGUAAAACCUGGGCUGAUGGACAUUUAACAUUACCCGGGCCUGAGGGGAUGGAUGUAAGGAAACCACGUGUCCUCAGCAGACGUCCUCCGGUAAGUCUGGGGAAAAGAAAGGAAAACAGGGCAGAAGGUCAAGAGGCCACUCUCCAGAGGUCAGUUUUACUCACACUUUUUUUUUUUUUUAAUCACACGGAAAUCUUUCACCACGGAAUAAUUUUAGAGAAAUGCGAAUCAAAACUAGAAUAGGUACCACCUGAUCAGGCAAGCCCACCCCUUGCCUUACAUCCGGAUAAAAUCAGAAUUUAAAAUGAUACUUACUCCCUUAUUUCACGGCAGCACAAUUCACAAAUUCCAAGACACAGCAUCAACCCAACGUCCAUCAAUAGAGAGAUGAAGAGUAACUGCUCCAUUUAGAUGCUGGAAUACACUCAGCCAUCAAAGACAGCAACAAAAAGGCCAUUAACAGCAGCACGAUGGACCGAGAGAUUUAUCCUACUGAGAGAAGUCAGAGAGAGAAAGAGAAAUAUUAUAGCACUUACAGGUGGAACCUAUAAAUCGGUUCAAAUGGACAAAUUCAUAAACAGAAAGAGACUCACAGACUAAUAAAGCCCACCGAUGAUUAUUUCAACAAAGGGAGGGGAAGGGAGACAUUUAGAGGUUGGAUUUACACAUACACACUCUGCUGUGCUCAGCUGGGUCGACUCUUCGCGACCCAGUGACUCUAGCCCGCCAGGCUCCUCUGUCCAUAGGAUUCUCCAGGCAAGAAU
rnacentral:lncRNA from 1 species